GUUUCUUUGAUCUCUACCUUAGAUUCCUCGGUUUUGUUGCUUGAUUUUAUUUUUUGUUUUAAUUCAAGCACUAGCAGAAGAAGUGAGGGCACGGUAUGACAAAGCGAUAUUUAAAGUCGUUGAUCUGGAUGAUUAUGCGGCCGAUGACGAUGAAUAUGAGGAGAAGAUGAAGAAAGAAACUAUAUCAUUUUUCUUUUUAGCAAUAUAUGGAGAUGGUGAGCCAACAGAUAAUGCUGUAAGGUUUUACAAAUAAUUUACAGAGGGGAAUGAGAGGGGAAACUGGCUUCAGAAUCUCAAAUAUGGUGUUUUGGGGCUUGGAAACAGGUAGUAUGAGCAUUUUAAUAAGGUUCGGGGAAAAAAAAGAUGUUGAAUAUUACGGGCUUUUAGUCAACACUUCUUUUACCUUUUGGCUACUGUUGACAUUUGGUUUAUGCUGUGUUUUAAAAAAUAAAUAGCUAAGGUGGUGGAUGACUUGAUUGCAGAACAGGGAGGAAAGCGGCUUGUCCCGGUGGGUCUCGGAGAUGAUGAUCAAUGGAUUGAGGAUGACUUCACUGCAUGGUGUGGAGAACUUUCAUAUUUCUCAGCAUCUCUUUGAUAGACUAUAACCCUUCCACACUAGAUAAUACCGGAUGAACCUAACAUUUGUAAAAAUAGUUUGACUUACCUCAUCUAUUUUUCUUGAUGCCAUUUAUUUUGUAUAUUCAUGUCUAUUCCUUAUUUUGGAGCUAAUUUGUUCAAUCUCCAUUCGAUAAAUGGUUGUCAUGGCUGUUCGUGGAAUGCAUGUGUCAUAUCAUUAUUCAGGAUUGUCCCAGCUAUUUGGUGUUGGCUAUUGAAUGCGUCUGUUUCUUUGUGCUUGUGGUGGUGAGCAUCUUCUUUGUUGCAUCUCAUAUAUGACGAGUGAACUGUGGCAUUCUGUUUGAAGCUCAACUUUAGGGAACUAUUCAGGACCACCUACAAAUAUUCAACAUUGAGACGAAGGAAAAAAUGAAAUAACAUCAGAUGCCUGAGCAGGUGAUAAUGUUGUGUUUUGGAAGUGGAUUACGCCAAAGAUGUUGGGGCUGGUCACACAAACAUCAGUGUAUCAUUGGUCAAUAGAAG